GUAGGUGGCAAGCGUUGUCCGGAAUUAUUGGGCGCAAAGCGCGCGCAGGUGGUUCUUUAAGUCUGAUGUGAAAGCCCCCGGCUCAACCGGGGAGGGUCAUUGGAAACUGGGGAACUUGAGUGCAGGAGAGGAAAGUGGAAUUCCACGUGUAGCGGUGAAAUGCGUAGAUAUGUGGAGGAACACCAGUGGCGAAGGCGACUUUCUGGCCUGUAACUGACACUGAGGCGCGAAAGCGUGGGGAGCAAACAGGGAUUAGAUACCCUGGUAGUCCACGCCGUAAACGAUGAGUGCUAAGUGUUGGGGGGGUUUCCCGCCCCUCAGUGCUGCAGCUAACGCAUUAAGCACUCCGCCUGGGGAGUACGGUCGCAAGACUG
rnacentral:rRNA from 1 species